rnacentral:rRNA from 1 species
UACGGAGGGUGCAAGCGUUACACGGAAUUACUGGGCGUAAAGAGCGUGUAGGCGGGUAAAUAAGUUGGAAGUGAAAUCCUAUGGCUCAACCAUAGAACUGCUUCCAAAACUGUUAACCUAGAAUGUGGGAGAGGUAGAUGGAAUUUCUGGUGUAGGGUAAAAUCCGUAGAUAUCAGAAGGAAUACCGAUUGCGAAGGCGAUCUACUGGAACACAAUUGACGCUGAGACGCGAAAGCGUGGGGAGCAAACAGGAUUAGAUACCCGCGUAGU